UCAGAAUGAUGAAACUCCACUUAAUUGGUCCGUGUUUUUGAAAGACAUUUGGUCCGUGCUUUUGAAAGACAGGAUAUUAGUGGAAAUUCUGAUUUG
rfam:Cricetulus griseus cell line CHO-K1, whole genome shotgun sequence.